AUUGAACGCUGGCGGCAUGCCUUACACAUGCAAGUCGAACGGUAACGGGCCUUCGGGUGCCGACGAGUGGCGAACGGGUGAGUAAUACAUCGGAACGUGCCCGAUCGUGGGGGAUAACGAGGCGAAAGCUUUGCUAAUACCGCAUACGAUCUACGGAUGAAAGCAGGGGACCGCAAGGCCUUGCGCGGACGGAGCGGCCGAUGGCGGAUUAGGUAGUUGGUGGGAUAAAAGCUUACCAAGCCGACGAUCUGUAGCUGGUCUGAGAGGAUGAUCAGCCACACUGGGACUGAGACACGGCCCAGACUCCUACGGGAGGCAGCAGUGGGGAAUUUUGGACAAUGGGCGCAAGCCUGAUCCAGCCAGGCCGCGUGCAGGAUGAAGGCCUUCGGGUUGUAAACUGCUUUUGUACGGAACGAAAAGCCUUCUUUUAAUACAGGAGGGUCAUGACGGUACCGUAAGAAUAAGCACCGGCUAACUACGUG
rnacentral:rRNA from 1 species